GGUGGGAGUGCUUCCAGAACAGACUGAUCAAGCUGUAAGACAGGGUGCGAGGGUGCGCCACGCUCAGAGAUGAUGUUUGGAGAGCUCAUACUUCACUUGCCCCUCAACGUUAACAUCUCGGAUAAUGAAGAGAAGCCAGCGGCCAAUGUUCUCAGCCUCUGCCACCGAGUGCUACCGAGAAAUCAACUUUCCACACCAGCAGCGCGCACCAGCUCAGCGAGCACCUGCGUCAGGAGGUUAGCCCUCCAGGGAACCGCACCGGCUGUGAGGAAAACCCGUCACAGGCUUCUGAGCGCCAGAGCUGGUCUCAGCCAGGAAGUGCAUGUGUGGCCUGUCACAGAGGCAGUGAAGGAACUGGUUCUCACCCAACAUUUCACAAGUUGCAAAGGUUGCAAAUCCUUCACUUAACCGGUCAUGUGGCAUUUGGGAUUCAGUUCGGGAACAGAGUGGUCUUAAGGAGUCACCCUUUCUCUCGACUAUACUGGCAAGGAAAUUAAACAUGUCAUUCCUACUGUAAA